UGGAGGCGAAGCGAAAGCGAGUGUGAAAUGCGCGUUUAGUGGCAGGCAAUAGACCCGAAGCGGAGGUGAUCUACUCAUGAGCAGGUUGAAGCUGCGGUAACACGCAGUGAAGGACCGAACCGGUGUAUGUUGAAAAAUGCUCGGAUGACUUGUGAGUAGGAGCGAAAGACUAAUCAAACCCCGUAAUAGCUGGUUCUCUCCGAAAUAGCUUUAGGGCUAGCCUCAAGUGAUGAUUAUUGGAGGUAGAGCACUGUUUGGACGAGGGG
rnacentral:rRNA from 12 species